AUUCAGCUGAUGAGUCCCAAAUAGGACGAAACGCGCGUCCUGGAU
rfam:Schistosoma mansoni strain Puerto Rico chromosome W, complete genome